AAUAACCUUAUUUUUCGUUUUUCCGUGUCUAACGUUUGACCAUUCGUCUUAUUUAAAAAAAUUUUGUGAUUAAUAUUUUUAUUAUUACUAGAUGAUAAAAUAUGAAUAGUACUUUAUAUGUGACUAUUGUUUUUAGGUUUUUGUAUAAAUUUUUCAAAUAAAACGAAUGGUCAAACGUUAGACACGGAAAAAC
rfam:Oryza brachyantha chromosome 7, whole genome shotgun sequence.